rnacentral:rRNA from 1 species
UACGCGAAGAACCUUACCAUCCCUUGACAUGUCGUGCCAUCCGGAGAGAUCCGGGGUUCCCUUCGGGGACGCGAACACAGGUGCUGCAUGGCUGUCGUCAGCUCGUGUCGUGAGAUGUUGGGUUAAGUCCCGCAACGAGCGCAACCCACGUCCUUAGUUGCCAUCAUUCAGUUGGGCACUCUAGGGAGACUGCCGGUGAUAAGCCGCAAGGAAGGUGUGGAUGACGUCAAGUCCUCAUGGCCCUUACGGGAUGGGCUACACACGUGCUACAAUGGCGGUGACAGUGGGAGGCGAAGGAGCGAUCUGGAGCAAAUCCCCAAAAACCGUCUCAGUUCAGAUUGCACUCUGCAACUCGAGUGCAUGAAGGCGGAAUCGCUAGUAAUCGUGGAUCAGCAUGCCACGGUGAAUACGUUCCCGGGCCUUGUACACACC